rnacentral:rRNA from 13 species
CUCGUGUUGUGAAAUGUUGGGAUAAGUCCCGCAACGAGCGCAACCCUUGUUUUUAGUUGCCUUAAUGGAACUCUAGAAAGACUGCCGGUUAUAAACCGGAGGAAGGCGGGGAUGACGUCAAGUCAGCAUGCCCCUUACACCCUGGGCUACACACGUGCUACAUUGGGCGAGACAAUGAGAUGCAAACCUGCGAGGGUAAGCUAAUCUAUAAACUCGUUCUAAGUUCGGAUUGUAGGCUGCAACUCGCCUACAUGAAGGUGGAAUCGCUAGUAAUCGCUGGUCAGCUACACAGCGGUGAAUUCGUUCCCGGGCCUUGUACACACCG